rnacentral:rRNA from 1 species
UACGUAGGGUGCGAGCGUUGUCCGGAAUUAUUGGGCGUAAAGAGCUCGUAGGCGGUUCGGCAAGUCAGCUGUGAAAUCUCCACGCUCAACGUGGAGGGGUCAGCUGAUACUGCUGUGACUUGAGUCCGGUAGGGGAGUGUGGAAUUCCCGGUGUAGCGGUGAAAUGCGCAGAUAUCGGGAGGAACACCAGUAGCGAAGGCGGCACUCUGGGCCGGUACUGACGCUGAGGAGCGAAAGCGUGGGGAGCAAACAGG